rnacentral:rRNA from 1 species
UACGAGAGGCCCAAACGUUAUUCGGAAUUACUGGGCUUAAAGAGUUCGUAGGCGGCAUUGCAAGUAGGGUGUGAAAGCCCUCGGCUCAACCGAGGAAUUGCGCUCUAAACUGCAGUGCUUGAGGAACCUAGAGGUGAGCAGAACAGAUGGUGGAGCGGUGAAAUGCGUAGAUAUCUGGAGGAAUACCGGUGGCGAAGGCGGCAUCCUGGACCGGCAUUGACGCGUGAGGAGCGAAAGCCAGGGGAGCAAAGCGGG